rnacentral:rRNA from 1 species
AGUGAACGCUGGCGGCGUGCUUAACACAUGCAAGUCGAACGGGAACGGGUCAUAGCUUGCUAUAAUUGUCAGCUAAGUGGCGCACGGGUGAGUAAUGUAUAGGUAAUAUGCCUCUUACUAAGGGAUAACAAAUGGAAACGUUUGCUAAUACCUUAUACUCCUUAUUAACAUAAGUUAAUAAGGGAAAGAUUUAUUGGUAAGAGAUUAGCCUGUAUUGUAUCAGUUAGUUGGUGGGGUAAUGGCUUACCAAGACUAUGACACAUAACUGGUUUGAGAGGAUGAUCAGUCACACUGGAACUGAGACACGGUCCAGACUCCUACGGGAGGCAGCAGUGGGGAAUAUUGCACAAUGGACGAAAGUCUGAUGCAGCAACGCCGCGUGGAGGAUGACACAUUUCGGUGCGUAAACUCCUUUUAUAUGAGAAGAUAAUGACGGUAUUAUAUGAAUAAGCACCGGCUAACUCCGUGCCAGCAGCCGCCGUAA